rnacentral:rRNA from 1 species
UUGUGCCAAGCAGCCGCGGUAAUUCCAGCUCCAAUAGCGUAUAUUAAAGUUGUUGCAGUUAAAAAGCUCGUAGUUGGAUCUCGGGUCCGGGCUCGCGGUCCACCUCGCGGUGGUUACUGCCCGUCCCGACCUACCUACCGGUUUUCCCUUGGUGCUCUUAACUGAGUGUCUCGGGUGGCCGGAACGUUUACUUUGAAAAAAUUAGAGUGUUCAAAGCAGGCGCUUCGCCUGAAUAAUGUUGCAUGGAAUAAUGGAAUAGGACCUCGGUUCUAUUUUGUUGGUUUUCGGAACUCGAGGUAAUGAUUAAGAGGGACAGACGGGGGCAUUCGUAUGAUGGUGUUAGAGGUGAAAUUCUUGGAUCGCCGUCAGACGAACUACUGCGAAAGCAUUUGCCAAGAAUGUUUUCAUUAAUCAAGAACGAAAGUCAGUGGUUCGAAGACGAUCAGAUACCGUCCUAGUUCUGACCAUAAACGAUGCCGACUAGCGAUCCGCCGGAGUUGUUUCAAUGACCCGGCGGGCAGCUUCCGGGAAACCAAAGUCUUUGGGUUCCGGGGGAAGUAUGGUUGCAAAGCUGAAACUUAAAGGAAUUGACGGAAGGGCACCACCAGGAGUGGAGCCUGCGGCUUAAUUUGACUCAACACGGGAAAGCUUACCCGGCCCGGACACCGUAAGGAUUGACAGAUUGAGAGCUCUUUCUUGAUUCGGUGGGUGGUGGUGCAUGGCCGUUCUUAGUUGGUGGAGCGAUUUGUCUGGUUAAUUCCGAUAACGAACGAGACUCUAGCCUAUUAAAUAGUUCGCCGAUUUCGAUCUGUCGGCGUUAACUUCUUAGAGGGACAAGUGGCUUUUAGCCACGCGAGAUUGAGCAAUAACAGGUCUGUGAUGCCCA